CCGAUCUUAGCUCAGUUGGUAGAGCGGAGGACUGUAAUAUUCUCAGAAAUCCUUAGGCCGCUGGUUCGAUUCCAGCAGAUCGGA
rfam:Selaginella moellendorffii unplaced genomic scaffold SELMOscaffold_6, whole genome shotgun sequence.